rnacentral:rRNA from 1 species
GAUGAACGCUGGCGGCGUGCCUAACACAUGCGAGUCGAGCGACCGGACCUUUAGCUUGCUCUUUUCAUGUUAGCGGCGGACGGGUGAGUAAGACGUGGAUAACCCACUUCUAUUACUGGGAUUAUUUCGUGAAACCGGUUCCACUACUACCUAAUAUAUCGAACCGCAUGAUUCAAUAGUUAAACACGCCUUUGCCGUCUCUCUUAGAUGCUUCCGCGCCGCAUUAUCUACUUGGUAAGGUAACGGCUUACCAAGGCGACGAUGCGUAUCUGACCUGAUAGGGUGAUCAGCCACACUGGAACUGAGACACGGUCCAGACGCCUACGGGAGGCAGAAGUAGGGAAUCUUCCGCAAUGGGCGAAAGCCUGACAGAGCAACGCCGCGUGAGUGACGAAGGCAUUCGGAUCGUAAAACACUUUUAUUAGGGAAGAACAGAAGUGUAAGAAAAUAUGCCGGUCUUGACGGUACCCAAUCAAUAAGCAACGGCUAACUUCGUG